CCAGAUGGCUCAGUUGGUGGAGCAAAAGAGACUCGAACUGCUAGGGUUCUGGGUUAGAAUCCU
rnacentral:tRNA from 1 species